rnacentral:rRNA from 1 species
UGGGGAAUAUUGGACAAUGGGGGCAACCCUGAUCCAGCAAUGCCGCGUGUGUGAAGAAGGCCUUAGGGUUGUAAAGCACUUUUGGCGGGGAAGAAGUUAUGUAUUUUAAGAGAUAGCAUAAUUGACGGUACCUGCAGAAUAAGCACCGGCUAACUCUGUGCCAGCAGCCGCGGUAAUACAGAGGGUGCGAGCGUUAAUCGGAUUUACUGGGCGUAAAGGGCGCGUAGGUGGUUAUGUAAGUGAGAUGUGAAAUCCCUGGGCUUAACCUAGGAACUGCAUCUCAUACUGCAAAGCUAGAGUAUUGUAGAGGGUAGUGGAAUUUCCGGUGUAGCGGUGAAAUGCGUAGAGAUCGGAAGGAACACCAGUGGCGAAGGCGGCUACCUGGACAAAUACUGACACU